GUCUUUUUGAUCAUAAUUUAAAGUCUAAUCUGCCCACUGAUAAUAUUAAAGGGCUGCAGUAUUUUGACUGUACAAAGGUAGCAUAAUCAAUAGUUUUUUAAUUGAAAACUUGUAUGAAAGAUUUAAUGAAAUAUUAACUGUCUCUUAAUUAUUAUUAAAAUUUUAUUUUUUAGUUAAAAAGCUAAAAUAAAUUUAAAAGACGAGAAGACCCUAUAGAGUUUUAUAUUUAAUUUAAUUAUUAUAUUAUAUAUAAAUUAAAUUUAAAAAUUAAAUUAAAUAUUAUAUUGGGGUGAUAAAAAAAUUAAUUUAACUUUUUUUAAUAAAUUAACAUAAAUAAAUGAAUAAAUGAUCCAUAAAUAAUGAUUAAAAGAAUAAAUUACCUUAGGGAUAACAGCGUAAUGUUUUUUUUUAGUUCAAAUAAAAAAUAAAGUUUGCGACCUCGAUGUUGGAUUAAGAUAAAAUUUAAAUGCAAAAGUUUAAAAUUUUUGAUCUGUUCGAUCAUUAAAAUCUU
rnacentral:rRNA from 1 species